UACGAAGGGGGCGAGCGUUGUUCGGAAUUACUGGGCGUAAAGGGCGCGUAGGCGGCGAUCCUAGUCAGAUGUGAAAGUCCUGGGCUUAACCUGGGGACUGCAUUUGAUACUGCUUUACUUGAGGACUGGAGAGGAGAUUGGAAUUCACGGUGUAGCAGUGAAAUGCGUAGAUAUCGUGAGGAAGACCAGUGGCGAAGGCGAAUCUCUGGACAGAUCCUGACGCUGAGGCACGAAGGCUAGGGGAGCAAACGGG
rnacentral:rRNA from 1 species